AAUAGGGGAGUUAUGCACCCUUUUUUUAUAAAAAGUCUUUCCUCUCUAUCUAGGUGGAAUGUACAGAGGACCAAGUAGCAGCUUCCAGGAUGCUUCUAGAAUCCACCACUUUCCAAAGUCAUAGAAGAAGUCAGGAUCCAUGUAGAGUGGGCCUUGUCCCUGCCUGGAAUAGAUUUGUCAUGCCACCAGCAUCUAUCAGUAUAACUCUUUGCACAUCACAUCAAGAACAGAUGUCUUUACUGAAGACUUAAAGUUCUCUUCUCCAUUUUGAACACAGUAAAACUAUGCUGGCGAUAGUAACAACAUGUAUGUUAAAGACAGGAGCAGCGACAAGGAAGAAUGAUGAAGCUCCCAACGACUGGUAAAGAUAUAAUGCUCCAUGCAUGAUGAUUUCAUGUGUACAUGUGUGUAUGUGUGUACCAAGUGAAGUAAAUAAAUAAAGCAUACAUUAAAAAAUUCUCCUUGAUAUCUGGCAGUUAGCUCAGAUGAUUAAGGCUACAAUCUAAUUAAAAUUUACUUUCAACAGUAAUGGGUUUCAUUUUUUUGGCCUCCUUUUGCCUACUGCUUGAUUUCAACAUAUCACAUAACCAGACAGUGCUCUGAAACAGCUGGGAAAUUUGUCUAGGCUCUUCAUUGGUCUAUUGUCUGCAUUCCUGCCAAGUACCUAUGAACCAGCAUAAAACCUAGUGAAAAUCUUUCAUCCCCUGGCAUUCCCAUAUUCAUUCCCUGGCAUUCCCAUAAAAUAUAACUUGCUCCCACAGCAUCACAAACAGAUAUUGAAAUGAAAUUAUUUGAAAUAUAUUUUCUUGACUACCUCCAAGUAUUUACGAAGUUUCAGAAAUGUAAUAUUGCAUAGACACAAAGUAAAACCAUAUCACUUUACAUUUAGGCAGACAAAAUAAUGCUUCCAUGAUUAUAUGAACAAUUUCAAAUGAGUCCUUAAAGCUCUAAAAUUAAUAUACUGACACAGAGUUAUAUGGUCCAUCCUGAUGUGUCAGGCUCUGGUUACUUUACUGUAUAUAGUGUGCAGAGUACUUUUGCAAAUAAUAUAUCAACCUCACAAUAAUGUAAUUUUAACUCACAAUAAUGUAAUUUAACUCACAAUAAUGAACUUUAACUCACAAUAAUGUAAUUUUAACAUUACAGAUGCAGUACAUUGAGCUUUGUAUACAAAUAUGGCAGACAGUGAAAACAGUUAGAAAUCUUCAUAUAGGAUCCUCCAAAGAAAUUUGGUAAGCCAUGCAAUGAUGUAAGAUAUAAAAUAAAUGAUUUCUGGCACAUCUGAAUUAUAAUGCAUGUAAUAAAAAAGGCUGAUAAGCUACCAAGCUGCUAGAUCUGUGUUGCUGUAAUACAUUAAUGUAGACAUGUAUAUGUACUCUACAGUGCUGGCUUUUUUUAAGUAAUAGAUAGUAUUAGGAAAAUAUGAUAUGCCCUACAUAUUAACCUUAGAAUGUAAGCUGCAUUGUAAUAUUGCAUUACAACAAUGCAACAGGGCUGUAUUUAUCUGCAUGUGUUGUCAUAUGUAAGAAUGCAUGUCUUGUUAUAUGUAAGAAUAAAGCGUUAACUGAA